rnacentral:rRNA from 1 species
CACGUAGGGCGCAAGCGUUGUCCGGAAUUAUUGGGCGUAAAGAGCUCGUAGGCGGUCUGUUGCGUCUGCUGUGAAAACCCGGGGCUUAACCCCUGGCUUGCAGUGGAUACGGACAGACUAGAGGUAGGUAGGGGAGAAUGGAAUUCCCGGUGUAGCGGUGAAAUGCGCAGAUAUCGGGAGGAACACCGGGUGGCGAAGGCGGUUCUCUGGGCCUUACCUGACGCUGAGGAGCGAAAGCGUGGGGAGCGAACAGG